GGCGCGCCUCCGCUGCUGGCCGCGUGCCCCAUUGAGCGGCCACUCAAAGAAACGCCUCGUGAGUGUGGGGCUCGGCUGCCACUCCUCCAGACUUAAAAAUCCACCACCGGAGCCCCAAUGGCUGCCGCCGGAGACCUCAAGUCGGAGUACCGCCAGGUUCUGCUCAACCGCCGCCGCGAAACCGAGCUCGUGGCGACCCAGUCCCGGUGCCUCUGACCAUGGAGCAAGGGAGUUCGGUGAAGGAGCUAUUGUACCAAGGCAACCGUCCUGUGUCUCAGAAAGAUCAGGAUCCUCCAUCGAUCUGAGCAAACACAUUCCAUCUUCCAGAUCGAAGUUAUUGUGUCGAUUCUGCUGUUUUUUUCAAGACAUGGAGCCGUACCCGAGGAAAAAGGUGGAGAACUUCGAGGAGAAGCCGGUUGAAGAAAAUUUUUACUCCCUCCGUCCGGAAAUUCUUGUCAUCAAAAUGAAUAAAAGAGGAUGUAUCUAGUUGUAGAUGCAUCUCUUUUUAUCCAUUUUGAUGACAAGUAUUUUCGGACGGACAACUAGAUGCAUCUCUUUUUAUUCAUUUUGAUGACAAGUAUUUUUGGACGGACAACUAGAUGCAUCUUUUUUAAUCCAUUUUGAUGACAAGUAUUUUCGGACGGACAA